CUUGAGUCCUGACACUGCGUUUUUAUUUGGAAACUUUAUUUUCUCUAACCAAUCAAGAGGGGAUUGUCCCGGAGGCGCGUGCGUAAAGGUCUGGAUGGAGUCCGGUACGGGACGGCUCUCUUCACCCCCCGUGCAGGUCUAGAUGGAGUCCGGUACGUGACGGCUCUCUUCACCCCCCGUGCAGGUCUAGAUGGAGUCCGGUACGGGACGGCUCUCUUCACCCCCCGUGCAGGUCUGGAUGGAGUCCGGUACGGGACGGCUCUCUUCACCCCCCGUGCAGGUCUAGAUGGAGUCCGGUACGGGACGGCUCUCUUCACCCCCCGUGCAGGUCUAGAUGGAGUCCGGUACGGGACGGCUCUCUUCACCCCCCGUGCAGGUCUAGAUGGAGUCCGGUACGGGACGGCUC